AGAGUUUGAUCCUGGCUCAGGAUGAACGCUAGCUACAGGCUUAACACAUGCAAGUCGAGGGGAAACGAUAUUGAAAGCUUGCUUCUUAGGCGUCGACCGGCGAAUGGGUGAGUAACGCGUAUCCAACCUGCCCCUGAGUAAGGGAUAGCCCAUCGAAAGAUGGAUUAAUACUUUAUGGUUUCCUUUGAAGGCAUCAGAUUAGGAAUAAAGAUUUAUCGCUGAGGGAUGGGGAUGCGUCUGAUUAGCUUGUUGGCGGGUAACGGCCACCAAGGCAACGAUCAGUAGGGGUUCUGAGAGGAAGGUCCCCCACAUUGGUACUGAGACACGGACCAAACUCCUACGGGAGGCAGCAGUGAGGAAUAUUGGUCAAUGGACGAAAGUCUGAACCAGCCAAGUAGCGUGCAAGGAUGACUGCCCUAUGGGUUGUAAACUGCUUUUAUACGGGGAUAAAGUCAGAGUCGUGACUCUGUUUGCAGGUACCGUAUGAAUAAGGACCGGCUAAUUCCGUGCCAGCCGCUGC
rnacentral:rRNA from 1 species